UGGAAAGAUGAAUCAAAGAAGGUAAUAAUCCUGUAGUCGAAAAUGUUGUCUCUCUUGAGUGGAUCCUGAGUACGACGGAGCACGUGAAAUUCCGUCGGAAUCUGGGAGGACCAUCUCCUAAGGCUAAAUACUCUCUAGUGACCGAUAGUGAACCAGUACCGUGAGGGAAAGGUGAAAAGCACCCCGGAAGGGGAGUGAAAUAGAACCUGAAACCGUGUGCUUACAAGUAGUCAGAGCCCGUUAAUGGGUGAUGGCGUGCCUUUUGUAGAAUGAACCGGCGAGUUACGAUUUGAUGCAAGGUUAAGCAGUAAAUGUGGAGCCGUAGCGAAAGCGAGUCUGAAUAGGGCGUUUAGUAUUUGGUCGUAGACCCGAAACCAGGUGAUCUACCCUUGGUCAGGUUGAAGUUCAGGUAACACUGAAUGGAGGACCGAACCGACUUACGUUGAAAAGUGAGCGGAUGAACUGAGGGUAGCGGAGAAAUUCCAAUCGAACCUGGAGAUAGCUGGUUCUCUCCGAAAUAGCUUUAGGGCUAGCCUCAAGUGAUGAUUAUUGGAGGUAGAGCACUGUUUGGACGAGGGGCCCCUCUCGGGUUACCGAAUUCAGACAAACUCCGAAUGCCAAUUAAUUUAACUUGGGAGUCAGAACAUGGGUGAUAAGGUCCGUGUUCGAAAG
rnacentral:rRNA from 1 species